rnacentral:rRNA from 1 species
ACGGUCCUAAGGUAGCGAAAUUCCUUGUCGGGUAAGUUCCGACCUGCACGAAUGGCAUAACGAUGGCCACACUGUCUCCUCCCGAGACUCAGUGAAGUUGAAAUGUUUGUGAUGAUGCAAUCUACCCGCGGCUAGACGGAAAGACCCCAUGAACCUUUACUGCAGCUUUGCAUUGAACUGUGAACCGAUUUGUGUAGGAUAGGUGGGAGGCAGAGAAGAGUCCACGCCAGUGGUCUUGGAGCCGACCUUGAAAUACCACCCUGAUUUGUUUGCGGUUCUAACCACGGACAGUGAUCCUGUCUUGGGACCGUGCAUGGUAGGCAGUUUGACUGGGGCGGUCUCCUCCUAAAGGGUAACGGAGGAGUACGAAGGUACGCUAGGUACGGUCGGAAAUCGUGCUGAUAGUGCAAUGGCAAAAGCGUGCUUGACUGCGAGAGCAACAACUCGAGCAGAUGCGAAAGCAGGUCAUAGUGAUCCGGUGGCUCUGAAUGGAAGGGCCAUCGCUCAACGGAUAAAAGGUACUCUGGGGAUAACAGGCUGAUACCGCCCAAGAGUUCAUAUCGACGGCGGUGUUUGGCACCUCGAUGUCGGCUCAUCUCAUCCUGGGGCUGUAGUCGGUCCCAAGGGUAUGGCUGUUCGCCAUUUAAAGAGGUACGUGAGCUGGGUUUAAAACGUCGUGAGACAGUUUGGUCCCUAUCUGCCGUGGGCGUUGGAAGAUUGACGGGGGCUGCUCCUAGUACGAGAGGACCGGAGUGGACGCACCUCUGGUGUACCGGUUGUCACGCCAGUGGCAUUGCCGGGUAGCUAAGUGCGGAAGAGAUAACCGCUGAAAGCAUCUAAGCGGGAAACUUGCCUGAAGAUGAGUCUUCCCGGAGGUAAAACCUCCCUCAAGAGUCGUCCGAGACCAGGACGUCGAUAGGUCAGGUGUGUAAGCGCUGUGAGGCGUUGAGCUAACUGAUACUAAUUGCUCGUGAGGCUUGAUCCU